rnacentral:lncRNA from 1 species
CGCCCACUGGGCGAAGAAGGCCCAUCUGUUGCAGUGCAAACUUCAAUAAAGGCAACUCUCUUGCGCCUACUAUUCCACUGAAAAGAAUGUCCAAGGGUUUAUUUACGACGACACACGAAUCAUGGUCAACGAAGAACUUCAUGAGGUACUUGAACCAUUUAAAUGGGAACUUUGAGUUGUGAUCCAAGUGUUCCAACCUAGACUUCAAACUAUUUUUGAAAAGAAGCCAUCCCAUUUCAUGGAUGAAAUUCAUGGCUUGAUUUUGUGUUUCUAAUUUUUCAGUGCCUCAGGGGAACGAAUCUGUCACAACCAAUUCUAUUUUACUCUCAAGCGUACAGAUCUCAGUGCAAACAUCGCCCUCAGCAACCAUGCAUGGAAAGAUGCUGCUGCUGAUACCAUGAUCUUCAACCUGAAUAAUUUCAGAUAGAAUACCAAGGUUAGCUAGCAUGUAAAUUCCAAUGGCCACCAUGUCACAUUAUGUGGGAAUAAUUAACAAAGAUCUAUAACAUGGACAUGUUCUCUAGGUAAAAAUUAAGUCAAUGCAAGAAGCAACACAAAAUUGUCUUAAUUAAUAUGUUUUAUUAUCAGCUUUCCUGACAUAUAAGUGUAGUAAAUAUGAAAAACAACAUACACACUAAAAAAACAAAACAUAACGGAAUAAACAUAACCUCGAUCAUGCCUCUCCCAGUAACUGCAGCAAUAGAACAUCACAAUAGAUUAGUAUUGAUAGUGAUUCCUGCACAUAAUGUAGAAUAAAUGUAUGUCCAUUUCCAUAAACAAACCCUGACCAAUAAUAUAAGGAGACAAAGAAAAGAAUUAACAGCAAUACAAUAGCAAGGAUACGACCUAUUUCUCUUCUCACACAAUCAUUUGGAAGCCCAUCAACAAGCAGAAUGUUGCCAAUCGUACAGCAACUAUUGCCAAUUUUACUGAAGAAUGCUCAUGCGUUCCUUCUCCAUUUUUAUUAUUUUCCCAUUAGCUAGAGACGUAGUAGUUAAAGAAUGAAAAAAUAUUCAGUCCGCCAAUAAAAAAAAUCAAAUUUGACAACCAUAUAUAUGCUAUUAGAACAGGAAAUAAGCCUAAAAUUAAAUUCAUUUUUUUCCAGCAACAAUUAAAAAUUCGAUGCAUAAUUAAAACAUAUACAUUAUAUAGAUAGAUAAAGAAAAAUGACCUAUAUAGUUAAAUCUGUAGUAGAGAAUUCCUUCCACAGGUCAUGAAAUCAAGUCAAGAUAUAUUCCAUCCUCAAUUUAAAAUGACUCGUGCAUGAAAAAGAAAAAAAAAAAAUUAUGAAGUAAAACAAUGGAAGAAAAUAGGAGAAUUAGGAAAAAAAUUUACAAACAAAAAUACCUCAACUUUGGAUAGCUUGCCUUUAUCCAAGUUUUCCAAAGGGCAAAUCCAGCAAGGUUUUGAACAGCAUUAUUAUUCUUGCUCGAAAUUGUUUACCAGUCAAUGGCCACCAAAAAUCAUAGCUCUUCUCGAGCUAGGGUUUAGGGAAAAAAAACACUUGAGAGUGAGAGUUGAGAGGUUUGUACAUUUGAAGCCCUAGAUAAAAAUAGUAAAUUCUAAGAACAAAAGUGGAACUUUAAAACAGUUAUACCUCUCCAAGUCUGUGUGAGAGAGAAAAAAAAAUACAAAAGUAACAAACAAGAGUUCAAACAGUUCCCCUGAUUAAGCUUUUGCUAGCCACAUUGAUGAUUGAUCACCUUUGCUCAUCAAUGAAAUAGAAUCUCUUAACAUAUAAUAUUUGGAAUUAAUACAUUUAAGAUUCCAAGUAGAUAUAGAAUCUAUGGAAGUAUGACUUCUUCCAUCAUAAAUCAAACUUUUUGAUUGUGAGAUGAUGCAAAUCUUUAGCUCUUAAAGACACUCACCCACAAUCAGGAUUGUUUCGUGGCUCAUGGUACAGGCAAGGACAAAAUGAGCAAGAACGAGGGUCCAAUACUUGAAGAGAAGUUUGACAAUUGCUAGCUAUCUAUCCAUGCAGCUCUAUAAAGUUUCUUCGAGAGUAACUUAGAAUGGUCAAUUGUUAAGUUAGAAAAUAUAUCUAUUGUCUACAUAGGAAGUGGAAUUUUAAAAUUAAGCGAAAUAGAAUAUGGACUACAAAGACCGAUCUCUAUGUCGUAUCCUUUUUAUGCCCUCCCCAGCCAAAACAAAUUUAAUUUCCGUUGUAAAAUACAUAAAACAAAGUAUUAU